GCAUAUCAAUAAGCGGAGGAAAAGAAACCAACAGGGAUUACCUCAGUAACGGCGAGUGAAGCGGUAACAGCUCAAAUUUGAAAUCUGGCCUCACGGUCCGAGUUGUAAUUUGUAGAGGAUGCUUCGAGCAUGGUCUGGCCUAAGUUCCUUGGAACAGGACGUCAUAGAGGGUGAGAAUCCCGUAUGCGGCCAGGUGCCUACGCUCAUGUGAAGCUCCUUCGACGAGUCGAGUUGUUUGGGAAUGCAGCUCAAAAUGGGUGGUAAAUUUCAUCUAAAGCUAAAUAUUGGCCAGAGACCGAUAGCGCACAAGUAGAGUGAUCGAAAGAUGAAAAGCACUUUGGAAAGAGAGUUAAACAGUACGUGAAAUUGUUGAAAGGGAAGCGCUUGCAACCAGACUUGCGCGCGGCCGAUCAUCCGGUGUUCUCACCGGUGCACUCGGCCGUGCUCAGGCCAGCAUCGGUUUUGGCGGCUGGAUAAAGGCCCUAGGAAUGUAGCUCCUCUCGGGGAGUGUUAUAGCCUAGGGUGCAAUGCAGCCUGCUGGGACCGAGGACCGCGCUUCGGCUAGGAUGCUGGCGUAAUGGUUGUAAGCGGCCCGUCUUGAAACACGGACC
rnacentral:rRNA from 1 species